UGGGGAAUAUUGGACAAUGGGCGAAAGCCUGAUCCAGCGACGCCGCGUGAGUGAUGAAGGCCUUCGGGUUGUAAAGCUCUGUUGAGGGAGAAGAAAACAGUUGGAGCGAAUAGGUCCAGCUCUUGACGGUAUCCCUUUAGAAAGCACCGGCUAACUCUGUGCCAGCAGCCGCGGUAAGACAGAGGGUGCAAACGUUGCUCGGAAUUACUGGGCGUAAAGCGCGUGUAGGCGGACCUGCAAGUUGGACGUGAAAGCCCUGGGCUCAACCCAGGAAUUGCAUCCAAAACUGCAGGUCUGGAGUGAUGGAGAGGAAAGCAGAAUUCCUGGUGUAGAGGUGAAAUUCGUAGAUAUCAGGAGGAACACCGGUGGCGAAGGCGGCUUUCUGGACAUCAACUGACGC
rnacentral:rRNA from 1 species